rnacentral:tRNA from 1 species
GGAUUGUGGCUCAGCGGUAUAGCGCUCUCCUAGCAUGUGUGAGGCCCUGGAUUCGAUUCUCAGCACCA